GAGGAAUAUUGGACAAUGGAUGGAAAUCUGAUCCAGCCAUGCCGCGUGCAGGAAGACGGCCCUAUGGGUUGUAAACUGCUUUUGUAUGGGAGCAAUAAGGACUACGUGUAGUUUGAUGAGAGUACCAUACGAAUAAGCAUCGGCUAACUCCGUGCCAGCAGCCGCGGUAAUACGGAGGAUGCGAGCGUUAUCCGGAUUUAUUGGGUUUAAAGGGUGCGUAGGCGGCGAUAUAAGUCCGUGGUGAAAUAUUUCGGCUUAACCGAGAGACUGCCAUUGAUACUGUGUUGCUAGAAUAUAGUUGCUGUGAGUGGAAUGUGUGGUGUAGCGGUGAAAUGCUUAGAUAUCACACAGAAUAUCGAUUGCGAAGGCAGCUCACAAAGCCAUUAUUGACGCUGAGGCACGAAAGUGUGGGGAUCAAACA
rnacentral:rRNA from 1 species